GGUUAAGCGACUAAGCGUACACGGUGGAUGCCCUGGCAGUCAGAGGCGAUGAAGGACGUGCUAAUCUGCGAAAAGCGUCGGUAAGGUGAUAUGAACCGUUAUAACCGGCGAUGUCCGAAUGGGGAAACCCAGUGCAAUUCGUUGCACUAUCGUUAACUGAAUACAUAGGUUAACGAGGCGAACCGGGGGAACUGAAACAUCUAAGUACCCCGAGGAAAAGAAAUCAACCGAGAUUCCCCCAGUAGCGGCGAGCGAACGGGGAGCAGCCCGGAGUCUGAAUCAGUUUGUGUGUUAGUGGAAGCGUCUGGAAAGUCGCAGGGUACAGGGUGAUACUCCCGUACACUAAAACACACAGGCUGUGAACUCGAAGAGUAGGGCGGGACACGUGGUAUCCUGUCUGAAUAUGGGGGGACCAUCCUCCAAGGCUAAAUACUCCUGACUGACCGAUAGUGAACCAGUACCGUGAGGGAAAGGCGAAAAGAACCCCGGCGAGGGGAGUGAAAAAGAACCUGAAACCGUGUACGUACAAGCAGUAGGAGCCCACUAGUUGGGUGACUGCGUACCUUUUGUAUAAUGGGUCAGCGACUUAUAUUCUGUAGCAAGGUUAACCGAAUAGGGGAGCCGCAGGGAAACCGAGUCUUAACUGGGCGUUAAGUUGCAGGGUAUAGACCCGAAACCCGGUGAUCUAGCCAUGGGCAGGUUGAAGGUUGGGUAACACUAACUGGAGGACCGAACCGACUAAUGUUGAAAAAUUAGCGGAUGACUUGUGGCUGGGGGUGAAAGGCCAAUCAAACCGGGAGAUAGCUGGUUCUCCCCGAAAGCUAUUUAGGUAGCGCCUCGUGAAUUCAUCUUCGGGGGUAGAGCACUGUUUCGGCUAGGGGGUCAUCCCGACUUACCAACCCGAUGCAAACUACGAAUACCGAAGAAUGUUAUCACGGGAGACACACGGCGGGUGCUAACGUCCGUCGUGAAGAGGGAAACAACCCAGACCGCCAGCUAAGGUCCCAAAGUCAUGGUUAAGUGGGAAACGAUGUGGGAAGGCCCAGACAGCCAGGAUGUUGGCUUAGAAGCAGCCAUCAUUUAAAGAAAGCGUAAUAGCUCACUGGUCGAGUCGGCCUGCGCGGAAGAUGUAACGGGGCUAAACCAUGCACCGAAGCUGCGGCAGCGACACUAUGUGUUGUUGGGUAGGGGAGCGUUCUGUAAGCCGUUGAAGGUGGCCUGUGAGGGUUGCUGGAGGUAUCAGAAGUGCGAAUGCUGACAUAAGUAACGAUAAUGCGGGUGAAAAACCCGCACGCCGGAAGACCAAGGGUUCCUGUCCAACGUUAAUCGGGGCAGGGUGAGUCGACCCCUAAGGCGAGGCCGAAAGGCGUAGUCGAUGGGAAACAGGUUAAUAUUCCUGUACUUGGUGUUACUGCGAAGGGGGGACGGAGAAGGCUAUGUUGGCCGGGCGACGGUUGUCCCGGUUUAAGCAUGUAGGCGGAUGUUCCAGGUAAAUCCGGAACGUUACUAACGCUGAGGUGUGAUGACGAGGCACUACGGUGCUGAAGUGACAAAUGCCCUGCUUCCAGGAAAAGCCUCUAAGCAUCAGGUAACAUCAAAUCGUACCCCAAACCGACACAGGUGGUCAGGUAGAGAAUACCAAGGCGCUUGAGAGAACUCGGGUGAAGGAACUAGGCAAAAUGGUGCCGUAACUUCGGGAGAAGGCACGCUGAUGGUAAGUGAAGCGACUUGCUCGUGGAGCUGAAAUCAGUCGAAGAUACCAGCUGGCUGCAACUGUUUAUUAAAAACACAGCACUGUGCAAACACGAAAGUGGACGUAUACGGUGUGACGCCUGCCCGGUGCCGGAAGGUUAAUUGAUGGGGUUAUCCUCGCGGAGAAGCUCUUGAUCGAAGCCCCGGUAAACGGCGGCCGUAACUAUAACGGUCCUAAGGUAGCGAAAUUCCUUGUCGGGUAAGUUCCGACCUGCACGAAUGGCGUAAUGAUGGCCAGGCUGUCUCCACCCGAGACUCAGUGAAAUUGAACUCGCUGUGAAGAUGCAGUGUACCCGCGGCAAGACGGAAAGACCCCGUGAACCUUUACUAUAGCUUGACACUGAACACUGGUCCUUGAUGUGUAGGAUAGGUGGGAGGCUUUGAAGUGUGGACGCCAGUCUGCAUGGAGCCAUCCUUGAAAUACCACCCUUUAAUGGCUGGUGUUCUAACGUGGGCCCCUAAUCGGGGUUGCGGACAGUGUCUGGUGGGUAGUUUGACUGGGGCGGUCUCCUCCUAAAGAGUAACGGAGGAGCACGAAGGUCAGCUAAUCCUGGUCGGACAUCAGGAGGUUAGUGCAAUGGCAUAAGCUGGCUUGACUGCGAGCGUGACGGCGCGAGCAGGUGCGAAAGCAGGUCAUAGUGAUCCGGUGGUUCUGAAUGGAAGGGCCAUCGCUCAACGGAUAAAAGGUACUCCGGGGAUAACAGGCUGAUACCGCCCAAGAGUUCAUAUCGACGGCGGUGUUUGGCACCUCGAUGUCGGCUCAUCACAUCCUGGGGCUGAAGUAGGUCCCAAGGGUAUGGCUGUUCGCCAUUUAAAGUGGUACGCGAGCUGGGUUUAGAACGUCGUGAGACAGUUCGGUCCCUAUCUGCCGUGGGCGCUGGAGAAUUGAGGGGGGCUGCUCCUAGUACGAGAGGACCGGAGUGGACGCAUCACUGGUGUUCGGGUUGUCAUGCCAAUGGCAUUGCCCGGUAGCUAAAUGCGGAAGAGAUAAGUGCUGAAAGCAUCUAAGCACGAAACUUGCCCCGAGAUGAGUUCUCCCUGACUCCUUGAGAGUCCUGAAGGAACGUUGAAGACGACGACGUUGAUAGGCCGGGUGUGUAAGCGCAGCGAUGCGUUGAGCUAACCGGUACUAAUGAACCGUGAGGCUUAACCUU
rnacentral:rRNA from 1 species